rnacentral:rRNA from 1 species
UACGGGGGGGGCAAGGCGUUGAUUCGGAAUUACCGUGGGCGUAAAGGGCUACGUAGGCGGCCAACUAAGUCGGUACGUGAAAUCCCCAGGCCUCAACCUGGGAAACUGGCUCUCGAUACUGGAUGGGCGUUGAAUUCGGGAGAGGGAUGCAGAAGUCAGGUGUAGCGGUGAAAUGACGUAGAUAUCUGGAGGAAUACCGGUGGCCGAAGGGCGGCAAGUCCGUGGACCGACGAUUGAACGCUGAGGAGCGGAAAGCUAAGGGGGAGCCAAACGGGG